AAGACUGGGGUGGGGCU
rnacentral:miRNA from 1 species